UGCCCUAGUAACGGCGAGUGAAGCGGCAACAGCUCAAAUUUGAAAUCUGGCCUUCUGGUCCGAAUUGUAAUUUGUAGAGGAUGCUUUUGGUUAGGUACCUUUCGAGUUCCUUGGAACAGGACGCCUUAGAGGGUGAGAGCCCCGUACGAUUGGAUACCGAGCCUCUGUAAAGCUCCUUCGACGAGUCGAGUAGUUUGGGAAUGCUGCUCUAAAUGGGAGGUAAAUUUCUUCUAAAGCUAAAUACCGGCCAGAGACCGAUAGCGCACAAGUAGAGUGAUCGAAAGAUGAAAAGCACUUUGAAAAGAGGGUUAAAUAGUACGUGAAAUUGUUGAAAGGGAAGGGCUUAUGACCAGACCUUUGCCUUGCGGAUCAUCCGGUGUUCUCACCGGUGCACUCCGCUUGGUUGAGGCCAGCAUCAGUUUUGGCGGCCGGAUAAAGACUUCAGGAAUGUGACUCCUCCGGGAGUGUUAUAGCCUGCUGUGUAAUACGGCCGCUGGGACUGAGGACCGCGCUUCGGCUAGGAUGCUGGCAUAAUGGUCAUCAGCCACCCGUCUUGAAACACGGACCAAGGAGUCGAACAUUUAUGCGAGUUUUUGGGUGUUAAACCCUCAAGCGUAAUGAAAGUGAACGGAGGUGAGAGCCCUUACGGGUGCAUCAUCGACCGAUCCUGAUGUCUUCGGAUGGAUUUGAGUAAGAGCAUAACUGUUCGGACCCGAAAGAUGGUGAACUAUGCGUGGAUAGGGUGAAGCCAGAGGAAACUCUGGUGGAGGCUCGCAGCGGUUCUGACGUGCAAAUCGAUCGUCAAAUCUGCGCAUGGGGCGAAAGACUAAUCGAAACCAUCUAGUAGCUGGGUUACCGCCGAAGU
rnacentral:rRNA from 1 species